UACAGAGGGGGCAAGCGUUGUUCGGAAUUACUGGGCGUAAAGGGCGCGUAGGCGGCCUGCUAAGUCGAACGUGAAAUCCCUGGGCUCAACCCAGGAACUGCGUCCGAUACUGGUUGGCUUGAAUCCGGGAGAGGGAUGUGGAAUUCCAGGUGUAGCGGUGAAAUGCGUAGAGAUGUGGAGGAACACCGGUGGCGAAGGCGGCAUCCUGGACCGGUAUUGACGCUGAUGCGCGAAAGCGUGGGUAGCAAACAGG
rnacentral:rRNA from 1 species